rnacentral:rRNA from 1 species
GAUGGACGUACCGCUGGUGCACCAGUUGUUCCGCCAGGAGCACGGCUGGGUAGCUAAGUACGGAAGGGAUAAGCGCUGAAAGCAUCUAAGCGUGAAGCCCCCCUCAAGAUGAGAUUUCCCAAUUCGUAAGACCCCUUGAAGACGACGAGGUAGAUAGGUUGGAGGUGGAAGUGCAGCAAUGCAUGGAGCUGACCAAUACUAAUCGGUCGAGGGCUUAUCCUAAA